UACGGAGGGGGCGAGCGUUGUUCGGAAUCACUGGGCGUAAAGGGCGCGUAGGCGGCCCUCCUUGUCGCGUGUGAAAGCCCCGGGCUCAACCUGGGAACGGCGCGCGAGACGGGGGGGCUGGAGUGCUGGAGAGGAGACUGGAAUUUACGGUGUAGCAGUGAAAUGCGUAGAUAUCGUAAGGAAGACCAGUGGCGAAGGCGAGUCUCUGGACAGCAACUGACGCUGAGGCACGAAGGCCAGGGGAGCAAACGGG
rnacentral:rRNA from 1 species